rnacentral:sRNA from 1 species
UUGACAGCACUGGAGACUAAAGUCCCUCUAUUUAUCCACCAAACAGGUACAGCACGGGUAGCAGCAGUGCAAGAUUCUCCACACUGCCCUGCCAAUGUGCCUCAACCCUGACCUGGAGGGACCCACCUCUAGGGGUGAGAGCGUAGUUCAGUCUCCAUGCUUCUUCAAGUCCUUGGAUUCU